AGCUCUACCAAGUUACUUAAGGAUGGUUGUGAAUGGAAAGAGCUAGAUUGCACUAAGGCUGCAAUACCUUCUUCACAAAAUAGGAAGCUCAUACCAACAUUUACUACUAAGGCAAAAAAAUCAUUGAUUAAAAGACAAGAAAAAUGUUUUGAGGAAACUACAGUAAUUUGGACCAAAGAGGGGCAACACAUGGAUAAAAAUGUAUCUAGAACAGCAGAAGAUACUGUUCAAAACCCAGUUACACCUGCAGAAUCCUCAGCGACAAAAAUGGAGAGUGCCAGAGAUCAAAUAAUCCCUCAUUGUGAAAGAAUAAAUGAAGGACUAGAUAUAAAAAUACAAGAUGAAUAUGGGAUUAGAAAAAUAAACAAUAAUGAUGUCACAUCAGGAUUAUCUGAUUCUCAGCAAGAAGCAGGAAUUGAAUCAAAUUCACAAGCAAGUAACUACAAAGAAGAAAUGUCACAAA